rnacentral:rRNA from 1 species
GGACGAACGCUGGCGGCGUGCUUAACACAUGCAAGUCGAGCGGUAAGGCCCUUCGGGGUACACGAGCGGCGAACGGGUGAGUAACACGUGGGUGAUCUGCCUCGUACUCUGGGAUAAGCCUGGGAAACUGGGUCUAAUACCGGAUAUGACCAUUGGUCGCAUGGCUGGUGGUGGAAAGAUUUAUCGGUGCGAGAUGGGCCCGCGGCCUAUCAGCUUGUUGGUGGGGUAACGGCCUACCAAGGCGACGACGGGUAGCCGACCUGAGAGGGUGAUCGGCCACACUGGGACUGAGACACGGCCCAGACUCCUACGGGAGGCAGCAGUGGGGAAUAUUGCACAAUGGGCGGAAGCCUGAUGCAGCGACGCCGCGUGCGGGAUGACGGCCUUCGGGUUGUAAACCGCUUUCGACAGGGACGAAGCGYAAGUGACGGUACCUGUAGAAGAAGCACCGGCCAACUACGU